rnacentral:rRNA from 1 species
AGUUUGAUCCUGGCUCAGAUUGAACGCUGGCGGCAGGCCUAACACAUGCAAGUCGAGCGGUAGAGAGAAGCUUGCUUCUCUUGAGAGCGGCGGACGGGUGAGUAAUGCCUAGGAAUCUGCCUGGUAGUGGGGGAUAACGCUCGGAAACGGACGCUAAUACCGCAUACGUCCUACGGGAGAAAGCAGGGGACCUUCGGGCCUUGCGCUAUCAGAUGAGCCUGGGUCGGAUUAGCUAGUUGGUGAGGUAAUGGCUCACCAAGGCGACGAUCCGUAACUGGUCUGAGAGGAUGAUCAGUCACACUGGAACUGAGACACGGUCCAGACUCCUACGGGAGGCAGCAGUGGGGAAUAUUGGACAAUGGGCGAAAGCCUGAUCCAGCAAUGCCGCGUGAGUGAUGAAGGCCUUAGGGUUGUAAAGCUCUUUUACCCGGGAUGAUAAUGACAGUACCGGGAGAAUAAGCCCCGGCUAACUCCGUGCCAGCAGCCGCGGUAA